rnacentral:lncRNA from 1 species
CUUGGAGCGGCGAUUUUAAUCCAUUACCAUAUGAAGAUUAUUGGAUGCAUGCACGUAUGUUCAAAUGUAUUCCUGAUCAUCAUCGUUUAAGACUCAAGCAGAAAGGUAGACCAAAGUCAACAAGAUUACGAAAUGAAAUGGAUGAUAGGCAAAUAAGAAGUAAGAACCUCUGUGGCAUUUGUAAGAAACAGGGUCAUGACCACCG